CUGUCGAUACACACAACAUGCGGGGAACAUGAAAUUUGCUGAUAAGACUGGCACUACAAUACACUACAAUUGCGACCUGUGCAAUGAAAGUGCAGCUCCACUCCGCAUUUAGAAGACAAGAGGCUGCUAACCAGUGCGCCGAGGAGGCCCAAUUGCUACUGAAUUUUAACACGGCAUUUUUCAUUGCCAAAGAAGAACUGCCUUUUACGAAAUUUAAAGGCCAGCUUGAUCUACAAAGGAAAAAUGGUGUAAAACUAAACGCAACAUACAAUAACAACACGCGUGCAUGCACAGUUUGUUGGCAUCAUCGCAGAAACACUGAAACGGAAGACAUACGUGAAGAUUAGGGACGCUCCUUAUCUGUCAAUCAUGAUCUUAGGACACAGAUAAGUCAACAAAAGAGUGUGAAAUCAUAUAUUCCAGGAUCCUGCAACAAGGGAAACCAACAAAUGUUUUGAUUGGCCACAUCGAAGUGCAACAUGCACAUGCUCAAGGCUGGAGCUGGCAAUGCUGUCAGUGCAAAGGAAAAUUCCCAUGGUGGAUCAUGUCUACAGUCUCCUCUACAUGGUUUGGAAAACCUACCACUACAGCAGCAAGUCUAUGAGAGAACUGUAGGCACUUGAAGAGGAGCUGGGUGUGCAUGUCAGUGUACCAGGUAGUGUCAGUGGGACACACUGGCUUGCACAUCCUGGCCAGUUCACAGCAGUUUACUUCCACAUGGAACAUUUGACUGCAUCAUCAACCAAUACUGACAUUGCUGGGAGAGCAAGGAAGGUCAAGAGGAUGAUGAAAGAUGGGGCCUUUGUGGGUUUCCUUCACUUCUUGGCUGACUUGUUUGAGGCCAUCAGCAAAUUCAGCCUUCUUCUCCAAAGAAAUGAUGUCAUUUUGCCUCAGGCUGUGAAUGGGAUUCAGAAUCUUAUUGCAACUGUUGAGGCCAUGUCAGUGAGAUGCAAGCCAGGUGGUAGGCUAGCAGAAUUACUGGCAGACCUUUAGGCCCAGACAAGACAACAAGAGAGUGGUGGUGAGGCUCACCC